AGACGUCUACAUUAGACUACCCGGGUAGUCCCAGCCGUAAACUAUGCGCGUUAGGUGUAUCGGUGACCACGAGUCACCGAGGUGCCGAAGGGAAACCGUGAAACGUGCCGCCUGGGAAGUACGGUCGCAAGGCUGAAACUUAAAGGAAUUGGCGGGGAGCACCACAACGGGUGGAGCCUGCGGUUUAAUUGGACUCAACGCCGGGAAGCUCACCGGAUAAGACAGCGGAAUGAUUGCCGGGCUGAAGACUCUGCAUGACUAGCUG
rnacentral:rRNA from 1 species